AUUUUUGGGAUCGGAAGUCGUAUCAUGAAAUUUUUGAAAUUCUCUCUUGAUCAUAAUUCAAAAGUAGUUAUAAAAAUAUGUAAUGAAUAAUAUCACGACCCUCAUAACAAAAAGAAUAAUUUUAUCAAAAAAGAAAAAAAACAAUAUUAUAAUUGAAAACAAAAAAAAAAAAACUAUUUUUCAAAUGUUACAAUUUUUUUUUUUUUGUGAAAUAGAUAACGGACUUAGAAAGUGAAGCCCAAGCCCAUAAACCUGACAAGUGACACGGCACUAGAUGGACAUAAUCCUCAGUAAUUAGAUUUGCUAAUGUUCCCAUUUUUCCCGAACUUUUGGGUAUCCAGAGAUUUGGAUAUAUCUAUUUUUACUUAUUUUUUUUUUUUUUUUGGAUGCAUGUUCAAGUACAAUAGUUACAAAUUUGUUUUGUUACUAGCUAUAUUCUUGGCAUUGAAAUUUCACGUUGUUAUUUUUUUUUCAAAUCCACGCAACAUAUGAAAGGGUUUUUGGAGGUGGACACAAUAUAAAAGGGGAAGAGACUAGUUAAA
rnacentral:lncRNA from 1 species